rnacentral:lncRNA from 1 species
UGGUCUUUAAGCUAUUGUAUAGCCACUAAUUGCAGUGUGAUUGAAGUAGGUUUUUAAUAGCACAAUAGGUAGGAAAAGCAUUUUUAUUGGUGUAUUUUUAAUAGGUUGCACUGUACCAGAAUUUUGAAACCCACAGGUGAAGCCAAUUAUUGGGGAAGUUCCAGUAGGUGGCACUCUUCCAACACAAUCCAGAAAACUUAAGCCUAAUGCUGAGAAACAAUUUACUAAGUUACAGAUCUGAUGUGGUUGUUAAAGGUUGUUCGAGUGAGUUAACAUAUCCAGUAAAUCAGUUGUAUAUUCAACUAGUAUUUUUCAUGUUAUCCAAAAUUCAUAAUUUGCUAGUAGCUUACAUAUAGAACAUUUUUCCUCUUGUGUUUGUUGCUUGGUUCUUAACAAAGAUAAAGUAUCUUUGUAGCAGAUCACUUCAUUGGACAUUCUAGUAAAGGGUACCUUUAAGAUCAAAUGUGGGUACUUAAAUUUGAUUCCAUACAUUAUGCUGACUCAUAAGGACUUAGUCCAGGCAAAUGUAAAACAUCUUUAUUGAAAAUAAUCUAGAGAAUGUUAAGAGUUGCUCACUGAGUAACAAGAGUUACUCACUGGUGUGGUGACACAUGUCUGUAAUCACAGAGGCUGAGGCAGGAGGAUGCCAAGUUUAAGGCCAGCCUCAAGGGCUAGGGAUGUGGCUCAGUGGUUAAGCAUCCCUGGGUUAAGUACCUGCUACCAAAAAAAGGUAAGAGAAAGUUUACUUCGGUAAAAUUUGGGUAGGUAACAAUGCUAAAGAUAACACUGAGGUAUCUGAACCAAAACUUCACAAAGUCUCAAAAUCAGCAAAGGUACACAAUUUCUAUAAACAAAUAUCAAGGAACAUGAAACCCUCACAGUUGUCAUCUGGUUUACAGGUAAAGGUUGAGGUUAAAAGUUUUUCAUAAGUUCCUUUUAAUACUAUUUGUUCUGAGGUUUCCAGAAUCACAGUUUAGUGAUGCUUUUUAUCCAAGGUACAAAGGCUGAGACUUUGGUGUAAACACCAGGGGAGCCCUUGACUCCACGGCCAUACCCCCAGGAAGUCACCCCAUACACAACCCAGCUUUCUCCAGGCCUCUUGCACAUGAGUGGUCCCCCGCUGUCUCCCUGGCAGCUGUCCACACGUCUGUGUUCCUGGAGGUUUCCAGCACAGAGCAUUCUCCCUGUAAACCGACCCUUAUACCGUUCUUCACAAAACCUCUUGGGAAGUACAGGGAUGGCUGCUUGUUGUAGUGUCCUUGAAUAGGCUCGUCCUACUCAGACCAAAUAUCCAUAUUAAUCAAGGAGAUCCAGCUACCAAUCAAGUUUAAUGAACAUUUCAGUCUCCAAAACAAACCCCUGUUGUGACAUUGGUAUAGUUCAAAGUGAGUGAUAACUAUAAGUGGCAUGUAAUGUCAUUAGAGGCCUUUCUGAUUGUCAGCACUUAACCUUCACACAUACUGAAUUUUUUAGGAAUAAUGAGUAACGUUUCUGAGUUUGGUAGCAGAGAAAGGUAACCUGGAGAAAGCACAUUCAUGUGGGCUUUAGUUGUUGAAUUCUGUACAAUAAAAAGCUAAAUUCAUGCUGAUUUUGCUUUGGCACAUUUGAGAAUCACCUACGUCACUGAAUUUGAGGAUUAAAUAUAAAUGCAAUAAUAUAAAAUAUAAGGUGCUAAAUGGGAAUAUGGCAUUGUAUAAGGAUGACUCAGCUAAAAUACCACACAUCCUUCUCCAUACAUAGUUGACACCUGGUGCAGUGCACUCUGCUUGUUGGUAAACCAUUCAUUACUUUGCUCAGUAGCUUAAAUGUAUGAUAGAUAAUGUCCUCGUUGUUAUCCUAGUUUGAAUAUAGAUUUCCUCAUAUUCUCUUAUCCAGUUAACUAAAUUGGAAUAACUAGGACACACACACACACACACAAAAAAAAAAACCCACUAUAUAAAAUUUACUUCCUUGGUCAUUUCUAUUCAGAUGUGAUAUCAAAGGACUGAUUCCCUUAUGAAGUAAUGGACCUGGUCCUCAGUGAUGUGAUGUGCUUAGAGAUGAGCACAGUACAUUAGGAAGGCCUGUAUCUUGACCCUAGUGAGACUGAUGUCUGUUUCAAGGCCUAUCCUGAGCAAGCACUAGCUGACAGUGCCUAAACUCUAGGCAAGACAAGGCCAAGGGCUAUAUUCAUAGAAGGAUCCAGCUGAACACGAUUCUUGCUUUGGGGUUGCAAGUGAGGAGAAUGGGAAAGAAGGAUGAGGGAGAAAGUGUAUUUCCCUUAAUCUCAGCCUCCACUUGGCACCUCAACUUUUGUCCGAUCUAUACUUAGCUUGAUAAAGAAACUAUUUAACACCAGAUCCUUUUGCUAGGCCAAAUACAUCAUUGUCAUAUGGGGAGCUUUUUAAAAUAGACUAUGUGGCCUAAAUCGUGGGGUAUGGUAUUGAAAUCUCUUCCCUUGUCCUCUCUCCAGUCAGAUAAGGAUAUUCUCCACUCCUAAGGCCCACUAGCAACUGAGUUCUCUCAGUUUGAAUUUUAACUGGAACUAACAGUACUCUUAAAAAUGCAUCUAGAUUACAUGCAAACAUUUCACGCCUAAGAAUUUC